rnacentral:rRNA from 1 species
UAGGGAAUCUUCGGCAAUGGACGAAAGUCUGACCGAGCAACGCCGCGUGAGUGAAGAAGGUUUUCGGAUCGUAAAACUCUGUUGUUAGAGAAGAACAAGGACGUUAGUAACUGAACGUCCCCUGACGGUAUCUAACCAGAAAGCCACGGCUAACUACGUGCCAGCAGCCGCGGUAAUACGUAGGUGGCAAGCGUUGUCCGGAUUUAUUGGGCGUAAAGCGAGCGCAGGCGGUUUCUUAAGUCUGAUGUGAAAGCCCCCGGAUCAACCGGGGAGGGUCAUUGGAAACUGGGAGACUUGAGUGCAGAAGAGGAGGGUUGAAUUCCAUGUGUAGCGGUGAAAUGCGUAGAUAUAUGGAGGAACACCAGUGGCGAAGGCGGCUCUCUGGUCUGUAACUGACGCUGAGGCUCGAAAGCGUGGGGAGCAAACAGG